GAUUCUUUUGUGAAGAAAAUCAACUGGAGUCCUUGAGGUGUGGGGAGGUGAGGGAGAGGGAGCUGUCAUAGAUGACUUCUAGAUUUCAAGGAGCAGCUGAAAGUAUUUGAGAAAGUGCUGAAAGCCCGUGAAGAAGUGCCGGCAUAGUGUAGCAAUUAAGGGCGGUUAAUACAUAGUCCCUGACUUGACAGUGGUUUGAUGACAUGUUAAUGUUACAAUGGUGUGAAAGCAAUACACAUUCAGUAGAAACUGUACUUCAGAUUGCGAAUUUGGAUCUUUCCCCAGGCUAGUGAUAAAUGGCACAAUGAUCUCUCCUGAUGCUGGGCAGCAGAAAGCCGUAGCUCCCAGUCAGCCACAGCAUCAUCGAGGAGUCAAGAAAAUUGCAUGAGUUUCAAUAUGACCUUCUUUACUGAUUUGAAGUAAACCUGCUGAAUGGAAAGGAUGCCAGGACAUACAGGAGAGUGAAGUAGCAAGAUGGAAGGAGCCCAGGUUCCUGGAGGAAAUGUGGAGAACUACUCGCCCCACCUCCUUGCCACCACCAACCCAUAUUACACUGUGAUGAGACCUUUUGCCCCACCUCUCAC